AAAAGUAAGUAAGGGCACAUGGCGGAUGCCUUGGCUCUCGGAGGCGAUGAAGGACGUGAUAAGCUGCGAUAAGCUGCGGGUAGGUGCAAAUGACCUUUGAUCCGCGGAUUUCCGAAUGGGACAACCCGGUACUUUGAAGAAGUAUCAUCCUGCAUUGCAGGAGGCUAACGCAGGGAACUGAAACAUCUUAGUACCUGCAGGAAAAGAAAAUAAACAAUGAUUCCCCCAGUAGUGGCGAGCGAACGGGGAAUAGCCCAAACCAUCCAUGUUACGGCAUGGGUGGGGUUGUAGGACCACGCCGUGGCAAGAAAGUUGGUGAGCAGAAUGUUCUGGAAAGUACAGCCAUAGAGCAUGACAGCUGCGUAUGCGAAGCCAAGCGAAGCCUAGUGGUAUCCUGAGUAGCGCGGAGCACGAGGAAUUCUGCGUGAAUCUGCCGGGACCAUCCGGUAAGGCUAAAUACUCCCGAGAGACCGAUAGUGAACCAGUACUGUGAAGGAAAGGUGAAAAGCACUUCGAACAGAAGAGUGAAAUAGUUCCUGAAACCAUGUGCCUACAAGCGGUCGGAGCACCUUCUGGUGUGACGGCGUGCCUUUUGCAUAAUGAACCUACGAGUUACUUUUUCCGGCGAGGUUAAGGAUUUCAGAUCUGCAGCCGAAGCGAAAGCGAGUCUGAACAGGGCGUAUAGUCGGAAGGAGUAGACGCGAAACCAAGUGAUCUACCCUUGGGCAGGUUGAAGGAUGGGUAACACCAUCUGGAGGACCGAACCAAUAAGCGUUGAAAAGCUUCUGGAUGACCUGAGGGUGGGGGUGAAAGGCUAAUCAAACUUGGAGAUAGCUCGUACUCCCCGAAAUGCAUUUAGGUGCAGCCUUGACUUAUACUGGCAUGAGGUAGAGCGACUGAUAAGAUGCGAGGGCUUCACCGCCUAUCAAGUCUUGACAAACUCCGAAUGCGUGUCAGUUCUAUGUCAGGAGUGAGGGCAUGGGUGCUAAGGUCCAUGUCCUAAAGGAGAACAAUCCGGACCAACAGCUAAGGUCCCGAAAUGAAUACUAAGUUGAACUAACGAAGUCAGAUUGCUAAGACAGCUAGGAUGUUGGCUUGGAAGCAGCCAUUCAUUUAAAGAGUGCGUAACAGCUCACUAGUCGAGGAGUUUGGCGUGGAUAAUAAUCGGGCAUAAGUAUUCUACCGAAGCUUUGGGAUGAGAAAUCAUCGGUAGGGGAGCAUUCCACUCGGCGUCGAAGGUGAAGCGCGAGCUUUGCUGGAGCGUGUGGAAAAGCAAAUGUAGGUAUAAGUAACGAUAAAGGGGGUGGGAAACCCCCUCGCCGAAAGACUAAGGUUUCCUGAUCAACGCUAAUCGGAUCAGGGUAAGUCGGGUCCUAAGGCUCAGCCGAACGGCGAGGCCGAUGGCAGAACCGGUUAAUAUUCCGGUACUACCUGUGGGAGUGACGUGGAGACGGAGUCGUGACAGCGCCGCGGACUGACGGAAUAGUCCGUUGAAGGGUGUAGAUGCUGAUUGUUCCAGGCAAAUCCGGAGCAAGAGUCGAACCUGACAGUAUGGAGCGUUCUUAGAACAAUCCAAUAGUGCGUGUAAUCAUACUUCCAAGAAAAUCCGCUAAACUUAAUCCUGCAGGUACCCGUACCGCAAACGGACACACGUAGUCGGGUUGAAUAUACUAAGGCGCUUGAGUGAUUCACGGUUAAGGAACUAGGCAAACUGACCCUGUAACUUCGGGAUAAAGGGUCCUCGCUUUACGGCGAGGCGCAGAGAAUAGGUCCAGGCAACUGUUUAACAAAAACACAGGGCUGUGCAAAAUUGAAAGAUGAAGUAUACAGCCUGACACCUGCCCGGUGCUGGAAGGUUAAGAGGAGAUGUCAUCGCAAGAGAAGCAUUGAAUUGAAGCCCCAGUAAACGGCGGCCGUAACUAUAACGGUCCUAAGGUAGCGAAAUUCCUUGUCGGGUAAGUUCCGACCUGCACGAAUGGUGUAAUGAUCUGGACGCUGUCUCAACCGUGAGCUCAGUGAAAUUGUAGUAUCGGUGAAGAUGCCGAUUACCCGCG
rnacentral:rRNA from 1 species